rnacentral:rRNA from 1 species
GAUGAACGCUGGCGGCGUGCUUAACACAUGCAAGUCGAACGGAAAGGCCAGUGCUUGCACUGGUACUCGAGUGGCGAACGGGUGAGUAACACGUGUGUGAUCUGCCCUGCACUUCGGGAUAAGCCUGGGAAACUGGGUCUAAUACCGGAUAGGACAAUGGUUUGGAUGCCGUUGUGGAAAGUUUUUUCGGUGUGGGAUGAGCUCGCGGCCUAUCAGCUUGUUGGUGGGGGAAUGGCCUACCAAGGCGUCGACGGGUAGCCGGCCUGAGAGGGGGUACGGCCACAUUGUGACUGUGAGACGGCCCAGACUCCUACGGGAGGCAGCAGUGGGGAAUAUUGCACAAUGGGCGCGAGCCUGAUGCAGCGACGCCGCGUGGGGGAUGACGGCCUUCGGGUUGUAAACUCCUUUCGCUAGGGACGAAGCGUAUUUGUGACGGUACCUGGAGAAGAAGCACCGGCUAACUACGUG